rnacentral:rRNA from 1 species
GUCUACGGCCAUACCACCCUGAACGCGCCCGAUCUCAUCUGAUCUUGGAAGCAAAGUAGGGUCGGGCCUGGUUAGUACUUGGAUGGGAAGAGU